ACUCCUACGGGAGGCAGCAGUGGGGAAUAUUGCACAAUGGGCGUAAGCCUGAUGCAGCAACGCCGCGUGAGGGAUGACGGCCUUCGGGUUGUAAACCUCUUUUAGUAGGGAAGAAGGGAGUGACGGUACCAGCAGAAAAAGCACCGGCUAACUACGUGCCAGCAGCCGCGGUAAUACGUAGGGUGCAAGCGUUGUCCGGAAUUAUUGGGCGUAAAGAGCUCGUAGGCGGUUUGUCGCGUCUGCUGUGAAAUCUGGGGGCUCAACCCCCAGCCUGCAGUGGGUACGGGCAGACUAGAGUGCGGUAGGGGAGAUUGGAAUUCCUGGUGUAGCGGUGGAAUGCGCAGAUAUCAGGAGGAACACCGAUGGCGAAGGCAGAUCUCUGGGCCGUAACUGACGCUGAGGAGCGAAAGCAUGGGGAGCGAACAGGAUUAGAUACCCUGGUAGUCCAUGCCGUAAACGUUGGGAACUAGAUGUAGGGGCCAUUCCACGGUUUCUGUGUCGCAGCUAACGCAUUAAGUUCCCCGCCUGGGGAGUACGGCCGCAAGGCUAAAACUCAAAGGAAUUGACGGGGGCCCGCACAAGCGGCGGAGCAUGCGGAUUAAUUCGAUGCAACGCGAAGAACCUUACCAAGGCUUGACAUAUACCGGAAACGUCCAGAGAUGGUCGCCCCGCAAGGUCCGUAUACAGGUGGUGCAUGGUUGUCGUCAGCUCGUGUCGUGAGAUGUUGGGUUAAGUCCCGCAACGAGCGCAACCCUCGUUCUAUGUUGCCAGCACGUUAUGGUGGGAACUCAUAGGAGACUGCCGGGGUCAACUCGGA
rnacentral:rRNA from 1 species